AAGUGAUUGGAUUCCGAAAAAUUGAAUCUUGUUAUUAUGAUUUGAGUUGUUUGUGCGAAACCUAAUAGCAUAUUAUUAUAAAUAAUAGAUUGAAGAGAAGGUAAAGGUGUGAUUGGAGAUAGAGAGGAAGAACGAAGAAGAUGGGAAAAGGUCGGCCGCGAGUAAAACCUACACCUAGACGUCCUCGAUGGAAGAAAACUAGUUAUCGGGAUAUGAUCGAGGCACAAGCAUUACACUAUGGACCGCGUCGAAGUUGGCGUGGAAUUAAUGCCAAUAAGGUUCCCCUUCUCGAUUUGAAAGCUAUGUUUACCCUUGAGAAGAAAUCAACCACUUCUCUAUCGGAUUCUCAAACUGUAACUUCUUCUGAAACUGAGUCAGUUGUGGAGGACAAUUCUGUUUCUCACUCUCAUUUGGUUAAGUGUUCCAGCUCUACUGCUAAGGUCGUCAAGGGUGGGAAAAAAAGAAUGGCCGAACGUAUUCGAAAAAAAAAACAAAAAAAGUCAAUUGUGACUUGUGAGUAGGGUCUGCUCUUUUGUACUGCAGGAAAUUUUAUUAUUAUCUUAGUUUCUUUUUUUCUUUUUUUUUUAUUGCCAUCAUGUUAGGAGCAUAGCUCCAGCCAUAGUCUUUUCCUUUUUCUCUGCGUUUGGGGCCUAUUGACUUAUAUUAUCUAUCCAAAGUUGUGUUUUUUAUUUAUGUUAUGGAAUAACUACAUCACCAAUCAAUUUCGUUUUACUUUUUUUAUCUUAAUAUGCGAUAUAAAUAAUGAUAAUUGCAACCUAGAUUGUUUGAAACUUAUGAGGCAAUACUAAUACUAAUACAAAUUAAAUAAACCCUUUCCAUUAUUUUGGUUUAUUUAUUACUGUUUUUAACUUAACAUGGACUUGUAAAUCAUAAGGAACCACCAUUAACAAUGAUUUCUGCCAAGUUGAUAUGCACACGAUUGAACAGGAAUUAUCACAUGCAAUGCUGCAGUCAAAUUAUGCACAUUACUCACAUAUUACCAAAACAGAAGAGAUUUUGUACAGAAAAAAAGUGUUCCUAUUUACAUUUUCCCUAAAGUAUCUCACCCUUUGCUUCCAUGUUCAUAUCCUAUGACAUAACUUUCAUUUUUACCAAAUGGUUGUCGUUUAUAGACACGAUGUGGAUAGAUUUUCAAUUUGAGUGUUGUUCAGGAACUAGGAAAUUAUUUCUCUGAUGCAGAAAACAUCUGUUUCCCUUGUUUCUUUGCAUGUUUCAGUCUAAACUCUUAGAUAUUCUUCAACAUUCAAAUAUUACAACUGAUUACACAAUCUAAUGAUGGGUCGAAUCAGUUUAUUGAAGGAGUGAGCUAGGUACAUUGCAGGCCCUAUAAGGACCAGGGGUGCAAUGUAGAAUUUGAUAUAGGACUAAGGACUUAAAUGAUAUGUGCAGAAUUUGGUACUAUUAGCUAAGUGUUCCUGUUGCAUUAUGAAGGGGAAAGCUGCAGACCUUUGAGCUGGAGUCUUCGAUAGAGCUCUCCAGAGCACUAAACUAAAGUACCUACUUGACAAUAACAAUUUUCACUAACUAGUUAUCUAUGACAUUUCUUUUAGUCUAAACACAGAAUAUCUGUUUGUAGAUAAUGAUUGUUAUUUCAUGAUAGUGUAAAUGUGAUUCAACUUCUAAUGAUAUUGUCAGAGAAAAACUAGGAAGCUAGAGAAGUGAGUCAGGUUUGAAUUCAUUGCAAGAAGACAAAGUUGUUCUCAUGCUCGGCAUAUAAUUGUCUGCCUUAGACAUUCAGGUUGUUUAUGCAUUACAAUGCAUAGUUGAUAGGGAAGAAUGCAACAUUUACAUUUUGCAGCUACAUCAUGUUCUAGAAUUGUGUCUGAGAUGUUUUUUUACUCUUUGAAGGUACAGUGAAUACAAACAUAUCCGGUUAAAAUCUUUAGACUACUACUAGUAACAAACUUCCUUUAUUGGAAGUGUUUUCUGUUAGAGUAUGUUCUUGGAGGGUUUAUGAGGGGACCUAGCCUUUAAAUUUAUUGGAAUAAAAGAUCUGGUUCAAGGGUUACUAUCUGAAACUUAAAGAAGAAAAGGGAUGCUAGUCCAAAGAGUGGGGAAAAUGGAAUAAAGAAUAUUGGGCAAUGUCUUAUUUACUCUUGAGAGACUUAUGCGGAGACAAAGUAAAGGUAAGUGGAGCCAGAUUCAAACGAAUAUUACUAAGUUUGGACAAAAAAUAACUAAAAAUGGAUACCACAAAGUACAAAUGUGAAUCUCUAAAUCAACACUUGGAGCAUUCUUUGCAAUCAAAAUAAAGAGGGUCAUAUGCCAUUGUCUCGUCUUUAUCUUUAUUUUUAUAUUGAAGUGGUGAUUUAUUUGACAAUUGACACAUAAUAUUACAAGCUAGAUUGUUUAUGUUUCUUUUGGAUUCUUCAUGAGCUGCUACAUUGAGUUCAAUUGUAUUGUUGUGUUUGUUGUUUCGAAACUUUUGAUAUCUGAAUCUUCCAUUGCUUUAUCCUGUUCAAUUAUAAGUGUUUUGAAAUCAGGUUUUAAUUCUUGGGGAAAAUUGCUGAUUUCGCGUUUGCUUACUUUAUCAAGGAAUAUAUUAGUUUUUGCUUUCAAUCCACUCAAGGCCAGUGAUUUCAUCUGAAAUUUUUAUUGUUGGUGCUGUUAAAAUUUGUUAUGUGUGCAGAAUUUGGUUUGCACAAUGUGAAGAGAAUGUGUUGAAUUUGAUUUGCCGGUAAACUGUUUGCUUUAUGUUCUGAGUUAAAAUUGCUAAGACACGAGUAUUCAUGCUGAUGUUCCUAGCUCUGGUUUGAGUUACUUUGAUGUUGGUGCUGCUCAUAAACAGUUCAAUUUGUCCGUUUUGAAACUCUCCAGAAUGUGUCUUUGUCGGGUUAGCGUAGAAGUCCAGGUUGAUUUGGAACCCAAAUGGGUGGUAAUGGAUCUUUGGCGGUGGUUUGGGUAAUUGGAGGGGAAUGCAAUGUCAGAGAAGAAGAGACCAUCACAGUAAGGUGUGUCGGCGGCGCCAUGAAAGGGAACAUCAUGUGUCAAAAUUGUAAGACCUAAUUUGGUCCUGGUAAACGUAACCCUCUCUACUUCCUCCUUACACUACAACCCUAUUUUUCUUGCUCUCUCUUAUUGCUGUCUACUAUUUGAAUUUUGAAGGGAAUUGACCACCAUGAGUAUGGAACACACUCAGGUAGCUUUGAUCAUCUUCAUUCGUCCUCUUCAACUCUUUUUCUCUCUCAAUUUAUUGUUAUUGCUUACUGAAUUAAUUUUUAUUUGUUGUAUCUUUUGCCUUCUUUGAACUUUUUCAAUUGGAAAUUUGUUACUGAAAUUUGAAAAUGUUAAUAGUCCAAAUCAAGUGCGGCUUCUUCCUCUCUCUUAGUGCUGGUUUUCCCGUCUCCAUCGGCUACUAGAUUUGCUUGAAGGUCUACAACAACAGAACUCACUCUUUCUAAUUCUACCCUUUAUACAUAUUUCUUCCUUCUAUCGUCACAGGGAGUAUCUCACUAUGGUAGCAGUGGAUUGUAAUAGGCCCCAUAUUCUGCUACAGGGAACAAUGCAUUUACACAAUGGAGAAAGAGAAAUCAAGUUUGUAUUAAGCAAUUGUAUAAGAGUAGCAUUACACUAGUUUAUUAUACAGACAGAAUUGACAAUAGGCGAAGGGGAAGAAUACUGCAGAAGAAAAUAGAGAACAAAGAAGGUUAAGAAGAGGAAUUGAGUGCUUUGUUUGUACAAAAAGGUGGCUCUUGCUUUGAGAAUCAACCGUGUUUUAUAGCAAGGGAAAUCUUCUUAGCAUUCAUGAGAAAAGAGAUUGUGAGGGUAUUACCGUAUUACAUAGUAGUGACCACUUUUCUGCUACUGUUUACCUGUGGUGUGAAAUCACCCGUAACUUUUGUCUUUGGUUUUAUGAAUAUGUGCAUGUGUUGUUAUCUUAAUCUCUUUAACAUAUCACUAUACAAUAUGAUGUCUUGGAUCAAUGUAAUAAUCAAGUUAUUUCAAUGCAAUUUGCAAAUUUUCUCAUUGUAAAA